GUGACUAGAAGAGAGAGGAAGGUCUGGAUGGAGCAACAAGAGUCUGGGCUAUUAACACAGGUUUGAGUCAGGCUGACCGGAGCUGUAAAGCCCUUCUCGUUCUCACUGUGUGUUCUUUUCAGUUCUGUCUUCCUGAGGCUGCUGUUUCUGGGCAUGGCCAGGGGAUCUUCAGACUUUACAAACCAGUUGUGCAGAGCCAGGCAUUUCAAUAAGGAACAAAAUGCUGAGUAACAACAUGAAGUCAGAGUGUUGCUUGCCAAGAGCUGGGAGGCCUGGGUGGUUUCCCAAUCUUAAAGAAGCAGAAGGAUAUUAAAGUGAGCCUCCCAAAGGAAAACGUGGAUCUACUUACCAACGCAGAAAAUGAUACACACGGAUUCGAUUUAGGCACGCUACAUUCAAAUGACUUGGAAGAGCAGGUUCUCUGAGCCAGGAUACUAAAGUCCCUGUUUAGGAAAGAGCCACGUUGUAUGUUUACCCUACCACAAAGAUACAGAAUUCUGGAGGAAAGUGGCUCUGGGAAUUGAACAGUGGCUCAGUGAUGUUGGGGCCACCAAGUCUGCAAUUCUCCCUACCUGUUCUUCAUGGUUGUAAGAUGACUGCUGCAAUUCUCGGCAUCAUGUGCAUGUUAAUGUCAGGAGGAAGAAAGGAAGAGGGAGCACUGGGAUGUUACAUUCAUUUUGUCAGGAAAAGCAAAGCCUUUCCAGACAGCUCCGAAACUUGCUUACCUCUCAUUGGCCAGCACCAUCACUUGACCACUUGUCCACUCCUAGCUGCAAGGAAAGUGGCAAAGUAGAAGGUAUUUGAGAAUGUCUGCUGGGUUAGCCAAAACAAUAGUGACUUCUACACCCAAUUUUCUGGGCACUGCAGAAGUAUCCUUGAGUCCUAUGUGAUCAGAGGGAGAGCAAACCUCAAUAAUGAAACAGAUUCAAUUUCCAUCACCCAGUGAGACACCAUGGGAUUAGAAUAAAUUUUUAAAAAAACAAAUUGAAAAAAAUGCAUUUUUAAAACAACAAAAUCAGAAAGGAUGAAAGGUGAUAUUUCUAGCAUAUCAGUUUGUGGUGGUAAAUUAAUUACCUUAUACAAAGGCCUCAGUGACUUUCUUCUCCUUACCUAACGAAUCAUCUUUAAAAUAAGUAAAAUAAAGAAACAAGAGCAGCAGCAGAUGCUUCCUAAAAAGAAGUUACCAAAUCUGUUCACCACAAACCUGAGAAUUCAACUGUGGACAUUUGGACACCAGCAAUGAACAUGAAACUCAGCUUAUGAGGCAUAUUUGGCUAAAGGUCAAGGUGACUUAAAGUUCAUCAUAGGACAUCUACAAUUUGCAAAGCAGGUGACUGGAUAUGGACUCCUUCCAAGUCUCAUUUAAUUGGAUAAUGCCUACGUUUUAAGUAUCAGAAGUGAGUCUUUCUCUAUUAAAUGAAGUCAGUUCCACUAAAACCUAAAUCUUGUUUGGCAGGCACUCCAUGUUUCUUAAUUUUUAUUCCAUGCUGUAUAUUCUUUUAGACUUGAUUUUCACUUUUUUUUCUUUUUUCCUGUACAUUUAUCUUUGCUGUGAAACAAAGUGCCCUGCUUUGAAGGACAGGUUUGUGGGCUGCUGGUGGUGAGACAACAGCAGUCCUUCCAAGUCUUCCUCCCAUCACUCUGUUAGCUCUCCCUUUGUUUUUAAUUAGCAUUACACCAGUUAAUUCUGUUAUCUCUUAACCCUGGUUCUGCAUCCUCUUCUUCUUUUCUAUUCCUUACUCCGCUCCUGUUUUUUCUUGUUCUGCUUUUCCAAGAAAUGUCUUGUCUCCUCAUCAGUUGACUGUCUUCUCUUUCCAGAGGGACCAUAAAGGUGCCAGCCUAAGGAACACGUAAAACGUGGGAACAGACAAACAAGCUGCUGCCUAUUACAGAGAUAGAUAAUUAACUUUGGACCAUUACAUGCAAUUCAUCAGCUUAUCUUUUUCAAACUUUAUAUAAGAAGUCAUUUCCCAAUGGUAACCACUUGCCAGCUGCAACUUUGACGCAUAUUAUCAGGAUAGGUGAGAUUGAUGGGGGCCCUUUGAACUCUUCCCAGGGAAUUAUCUUUAUAAUGUUACAGUUUUCUCUAUAGCAUGGUCAUAUUGUUAACAUUGGUUAUAAGGUCAUAUGGUUAGUAUGGUUAGUAUUGGUGGCUCACAGCUGUAAUACCAGCACUUUGGGAGGCCAAGGUGGGAGGAUCACUUGAGCCCUGGUGUUCAAAACCAGCUCUGGAAACAUAGCAAGACCUUGUCUCUACAAAAAAAAAUUAAAUAAAUUAAAAGAUUAGCUGGGCAUGGUGGCACAUGCCUGUAGUCCUCACUACUUGGGAAACUAAGGUGGGAGGAUCCUUUGAGCUUGGGAGGUUGAGGCUGCAGUGAGCUGUGGUUGUGCCAUGGCACUCCAGCCUGGGUGACAGAGUGAGAGCCUGUCUCAAAAAAAAAAAAAAAAAAAAAAAAAAGUACCUGUAAGGUCUUUGGGAUUUUGAAGAUGAAAGGUGUUGCAUAAAUUGAAUGAAUUCACUUAGAGAGAUAGAAGGCAACUACAGGGAAUAUUACGUACAUCAUGGAGCGGAAAGCACUAAGGCCUGUGGAAUUAUUCUCAGUGACACGUCGUUGAGGGCAGUGGUCCACAUGUUUUGAACAUGGUUUCUCCCAGGUGAAAAGGAUGAGUAAUUUGUUCUCCUUCACAUGUGUGUAUGUAGGUCUUAUACACAGCAGAUUUGCCACAAAACAAAUGAAGAUUACACUUUGGGCCCCUCUCUCACAUGAGCCCCUUCCAAAGUUCUGUUUGCUAAUUUUACAUUUUGUAAUUUCUUAUUAUUUUUCUUAAAGAAGCCUCCUCCAAUUGCAUAAACUUCAAGCCUCACAAAAUUUGGAUCCAUACCUGAGCCAACAUACAAUACAAUUUUCCAUUUCUAA
ensembl:lncRNA LINC01094 long intergenic non-protein coding RNA 1094